UUUGAUCUCUUUUGGUCUUUCGAUGUCGAUCUUUCUCUGUGUUCUCUUAAUUUGCGCAAUUAUGCAUUUAUUUUUGUGUUUUCUAGAUGUUUUGUCGCAGGAUUUUUUUUCCCUACUUUUGUUUGUUUCCUUUGGUAAAUGCUGUGAUUUCUCCUCGUACAAUUUGCUAUCAUUUGCGUGGGAAUGCCCAUCGUGAAUUCUCUUUAAGAAUUUGAUGGGAUUGAAGUAUAAGAGAAUUUGAAAAGUUGAUUAGUACUUUAGUGUAAUUGAAAGAGUGAUGAAUGCUACUAACUUUGUUACUGUUUUCAGUGUUAGGAGCGGAGCGAAUAGAGAUGGAGAAGAGAGUGUUAUUAGGGGUGCUAAAGAAGAACAAUCCCAUCAAGAAAAACAAGAAAAGUUUCCUCAAGAAAGUUGUGGGCUAUCUGGACUCUGAUUCUUGCAUGUUUGCGCCUCUAAUCUCUACCCCUCAUACUGAUUUUCUUGCAUCAAAAUCCAGCUCUUCUUCUACUGCAGAGUUCAACCUUGUUCUUCUGCCAAUGGCUUUUUAAUAUAUGCUACCUCGUGUGAUCAACCGGUUAUUUCUCCUAAAGGGCAUUCUAGGUUUAUUAAAAAGAUUACUUUGGAAGUGUCAACCAGGAUAUUAACAAGGAAGGAUAAUCAACCAACUGUUGAGACAUCAAAUGUAACAGUACAAGACCAAUUCUCUGAGCUUCCUAAAAAAGGCAUUUCUGGCCAGCAGAAAUUUGUGCACAAGGAAUCAGUGAAGCAUAUAGUUAAGUUGCUGCUCUUCUUUGUCAGAGAAGGGAACACAUGAUUCACAGCUUCGGGAGCUCCUUGUUGACUGAACCAUCGAUAAAGUACGACAUAUGCAUCGUGCUGUAAUCAAUUGAGAAGUGUCCUGACCUUCAGAAUCUCAGGUCUAAUUUGCUCUACUGAACAGUACAGGCCGUUAAUGUUUGUCAUGCUAUUGAAGACAGACGGAAGUUUUUAUUGGGAAUCACUUGGAAAAAGUUGGAAACUGCAAAGAUUAUCAGUGGCGGUGACAGUUUACGAAGAUUAGACUGCAUAAAGUGCUUCCUCCCUGUACGGGGGCCACCUGAAUCAGUAUGAGAAACUUGAAAUGCCAUCUGAGUUGAUUAUACCUAGUAUGGGCAGGAUUGCAUCAUUGUGUGCUGGCAUCUGACUUGAUGAGAAACGAACAAAGGGUGCAAAACAACAACAUUGUUUUUAUCCGAUAUCAAUUAUAGAAAUCUCAACACUGUUUGUAUUUUUCCUAGUUUGUGUUGUCUAUAUCAUGAAUGAACUAUAUGACAUUUCAUGAUUAUAACUGCAGGUUGUCAUGUUAGGCAAUGUACGAUUAAAAUUAAA